rnacentral:rRNA from 1 species
CUAGCUGUAAAAUAUUAACCCACACCAAAACUCGCCAGGGAAUUACGAGCCCAAGCUUAAAACCCAAAGGACUUGACGGUUUCCAAUCCCCCUAGAGGAGCCUGUUCUAUAAUCGAUUCUCCCCGAUCAACCUCACCACUUCUUGAACAUACAGCCUGUAUACCUCCGUCGCAAGCUUACCCUAUGAAAGCACAUUAGUGAGCUUAAAGAUUUUUACACCAACACGUCAGGUCAAGGUGCAGCCCAUGAACUGGAAAGAAAUGGGCUACAAUCUCUACCUUAGAACAAACGAAGAACUGCAUGAAACACAGUUACUGAAGGCGGAUUUAGUAGUAAAAAGAAAAUAGAGAGUUCUUUUUAAUUGGGCACUAGGAUGCGUACACACCGCCCGUCACCCUCUUCAAUAAUAAAUUUUUUAAUGUUUAUAACAUCACAUAUUUUUACAGAAGAGGCAAGUCGUAACAUGGUAAGCGUACUGGAAAGUGCGCUUGGAACAAAGUGUAGCUUAAUAAAAAGUAUCUUGCUUACACCAAGAAUAUGUCUGUAAAAAUCUGACCAUUUUGAGCCUAAAGCCCAGCCCUACUUUUAUAAAUAUAACACCCACCAACAAAUAGCCGAACUAAAACAUUUUAUUAACCAAGUAAAGGCGAUUAAAAAGUUUCUAGGAGCCUUAACAUCAGUACCGCAAGGGAAAAGUGAAAUAAAAAUGAAAUAAAUUUAAAGCAUACUAAAGUAGGGCUCAAACCCCGU